CUAGCGGAGAAGGUUCGAGAACGUAUUGCUAUGAAAAAAACCUUCAAAAAGCAUCUCUUUAUGGAGAACCACGGUGUCGCUGGCCUGGACCGCAAUGGCACGAACGGCGACCGAUCGGCGCCGGUGGUACCUGGACUCGAAUGAUGUAUCGGUUUGCGCAUUCGUCGGGCGAUUUCUUCGCUUUGUCCAGGCUGCCGUUCUUCAUUUCACAAAUCAUGUGCCGAUCCAAUCCGAGAGAUUCGAACCUACCUCCAUCCAGAGCAGACUCCCACCUGCUCGACGACUGACUCUGAAACAUCCUGCCCAAUCUCGUGCUAACCUCGAGUGCGAUGUCGACCGCUUUCCCUGCGAGCGGUGGGAUUUUAAUCUUCUCUAUCUUUGUUAUCAGUUGUUGCCGACUUGAAUCGGAGCAAACGCUGAGUGGACUGAGGAUGGAGGUAGUGUUGAAUCUCUAAGAGUUGGCUCCUCACGCGAUUUGUGAAGGAAGAAUGUGCAAUCGGGACAGCCGAAGAAGCCGCCUGACGUAAUGUGCUCGACUAGACGUUACCUGCUGCGCCGAUUUGGGUACACAGUGAAGCGGGGGAGAGAGAGGAAUCGUGCAGAUGAGGAGGACAGUGAUGAUGUUCUUGAAACAGGUGAUGUCUGGGCGAUGUAUCGGGUAGUAUUCUGCGGGUGAUGGGUGCUCGAAGGAAGAUCUGGAUCGCGAUUAUGAGAGUAAGACUUAGAGUGAAAGAUGAGACAAAGGUCAUUUGAUGCUACUCCUUUGUCCAUUCUGUUUAUGGACAAUCCAAAUGGAUAACCUGAAGUGUUUGGGGUUUCCGCAGAUCUCAAUUUCACUGCUUAUCUGCACAGCGAUUAUCUGAUAGCCUCUCCUAUCAGAAAAGAGCCACGACAUAUUUCUUUCAAGGUGGUUAUAUCUUGUAAAACUCACCAAUGUGGAACUCCUGAGAAGAGAAUGAAUAUUAAUACCUAUCAUAGAUUUUGAGCAGUAUCAAGAAGUUUGUUAAAUCAGUUGAGGACCCAGUACUCUGCUCCAUCUAUGCUGUCUAUGGAUUGUUAUUUGAUUAUUUGAUGAACCACUUAGGCACAGCAAAUGCAGAGAAUUACUUGAUUGAGAACGUGAUACUUGAUGGGAAGAGAGCAGUUAUGCGGCAAUGUUGCGUGUUUCUUGAUUCUUUACCUGAAGGAGCAUGGGCGCUUUUGAAACAAAUACUAUAAAAUUUGAUAUUCUAACCAUGUUUUUGUUCCUCAAUUUUUCUAGCACAUUAUGCCCCCUUGUCGCAUGCAAACAUGGAGCUAUAUAACUUAGCAUGUAACUCACUGCUGAUAUCCCACAAGAACAAGCAUAAAUAUACUGGCCUGUGUGAAAAUUCUGUGUCGUGUAUGGCUUUGGGAGGCAUUCAAGUGGUUAAUGGUCUAGAAUGUCAAAUGGCUUGUAACCCAUCAAAGGUGCUGAUUGCUUUAUGAUACAUUCUGAUUUGUCCUGUGCUGUGUCAAGUAUUUUAUCUCGUAUAGAUAAGAAGAGUGCACAUUCUAUUUCAAACAAGCUUUGAAGGUUGUUUCUUUUUUCAUCCUUGUUUGAUCACUUCCUACCAUCACAAGUGUUUAAUUGCAGACCAGACCUUAUAUGUACUGCACACUGAAGAUUUCCUUUCCGGUGGAGAAGUAAAAGAAACAGCUUGUCAGGGGUUUGAUGUUCAUGUCGUUAUCAAGAAAAGGUACAAAGGUUCCACAGUUUUAUCCCCAAAGUAGCAGCCAUGCAUUACAGAAGAAGCUUGGAAGGUGACACAAGAUUAGUAUGUUGAAAACCUCUGGUAUAUUCAGUUUAUGUUAUCGUCUCUUCUUUCUAUUGACGAAGAGCAUCCGGGAAAACCUGGGUAGUCAGCUUUUUUGGGGUAGACACGGACAGCUGAGAUGUAUGGUAUUUUCCUUUGCUCGACACUGUCUUGCUGCAAAAGCUCUUUUCUGUAAACAUCCUUGUGGCAUUCUCGUCA